CCUACGGGAGGCAGCAGUAGGGAAUCUUGCACAAUGGGCGAAAGCCUGAUGCAGCGACGCCGCGUGGGUGAAGAAGUUCUUCGGAUCGUAAAGCCCUAUUAUUAGAGAAGAAAGUGCGUGAGCGUAACUGUUCACGUUUCGCCGAUAUCUAGCCAGCAGCCCACGGCUAACGACGUGCGCGCAGCCUCGGUAGUACGUAGGUGGCAAGCGUUAUCCGGAUUUGCUGGGCGUAAAGGGAACGCAGGCGGUCUUUUAAGUCUGAUGUGAAAGCCCGCGGCUUAACAGGUGGAGUGCAUUGGAAACUGGGAGACUUGAGUGCAGAAGAGGAGAGUGGAACUCCAUGUGUAGCGGUGAAAUGCGUAGAUAUAAGGAAGAACACCAGUGGCGAAAGCGGCUCUCUGGUCUGUAACUGACGCUGAGGUUCGAAAGCGUGGGGAGCAAACAGGAUUAGAUACCCCGGUAGUC
rnacentral:rRNA from 1 species